UUGAAACACUGGUUCCUGUAUGAUCAAUGAAGUUAAGCAAUAUUGGGCCUGGUCAGCACCUAGAUGAGUGACCAUUUGGGAAUACCAGGUGCUGUAAG